CCUACGGGCGGCAGCAGUGAGGAAUAUUGGUCAAUGGUCGGGAGACUGAACCAGCCAAGCCGCGUGAGGGAUGAAGGUACAGAGUAUCGUAAACCUCUUUUGUCAGGGAACAAAGGCGGGGCCGUGUCCCCGGAUGAGUGUACCUGAAGAACAAGCAUCGGCUAACUCCGUGCCAGCAGCCGCGGUAAUACGGAGGAUGCAAGCGUUAUCCGGAUUUAUUGGGUUUAAGGGGUGCGUAGGCGGUCGGAUAAGUUAGAGGUGAAAUCCCGAGGCUCAACUUCGGAAUUGCCUCUGAUACUGUUCGGCUAGAGAGGAGUUGCGGGAGGCGGAAUGUAUGGUGUAGCGGUGAAAUGCUUAGAGAUCAUACAGAACACCGAGUGCGAAGGCAGCUUACCAAGCUACUUCGGACGUUGAGGCACGAAAGUGUGGGGAGCAAACAGGAUUAGAUACCCGUGUAGUC
rnacentral:rRNA from 1 species